rnacentral:rRNA from 1 species
UACGGAGGGUGCAAGCGUUAUCCGGAUUCACUGGGUUUAAAGGGUGCGUAGGUGGGUCUGUAAGUCAGUGGUGAAAUCUCCGUGCUUAACAUGGAAACUGCCAUUGAUACUAUAGGUCUUGAAUUUUCUGGAGGUAAGCGGAAUAUGUCAUGUAGCGGUGAAAUGCUUAGAUAUGACAUAGAACACCUAAUUGCGAAGGCA